AGCUAUCAUGAGGCCCUCUUUCCUUGAGAGGAAAGACAAAGAGAGGAAGCAACGUCCCUUGUAUUCUACGAUGAAUUUUACUGCAUCAUUAAAAAAAAAAAAAAAAAAAGAAAAAAAAGAAAAAUCAAUGAACAGAACAUUUGGUUCCUGAAGCGUCGUGUCGCUUUAUUUGAACACAGCUUUCUUUCUAAAUGAAUCCUGCCAAGCACCAACGUGAAUAUACAUUUCGUGGAAAAGUUCCAUGGGGGCUGCGAGGCCAGAUGUACGAAGCACACACAGAGCCUCCUCUUCCAGUAGCAAUUAUCGGAUGAAAUUGUGCCUCGUCGGCAGCAGGCGAACCGGAUAUGUCCCCAGCGGAGUGAGGAGCACGUGCUCUGGUAUUUAUAAACUGGAAAAGAUGUCUGUCAGCAGGAACAGCACAUGCAUUCAUCCCUGCGUGCUGGCGAGAAAUAGCUGCGUCGGUUCUGAACGGCUGAUGAGGGAUUCAGAAAUUCCGUCAGCGCAUCUGUUGCCGAGAGAGGGAUUCUCUCCCUAGAUGGUGACGACUCCAGCACGUGCGUUUCUAAUCAUGUGCUGAGCAGAGGGUAAGGCUCUGGGCUGGACGCUUGGCUCGUCCUUCCCUGGGCCAACCCCAGCAGAUUCCAGAAGCGAGGGCCGAGUCGGGGAUGUCCAGUCCCGGUGUCACAGAGAAGGUGAAUAGUGGGAGGUCAGCACUCAUGGUCUCACUCUCAGGUCUCUGGUUGCCUGGCAAGAGAUCACUGGCAGAGCCAUCUCAGAUGCAUCUCACCCCAGCUGCGGGCUGUUCUGUGUAGGUCAGCCCUUUUGAAUCCUUUCUAGGCUUUCGGGGGUUGGGAGGAGUUGGCUUUGUUAGAGAUGGAGGCAAGAAUGAUUCAUGUUUGCUAUACCCUCUGCUUCUUGGCUAGACCGAUCGCCUCACCAGCCCACGGAAGUGAGCCACUGGUCCUCUGUGGCACUGGCAGACAGGGACCAAGACCUUCUUCACUGGUCCCUCCCAGCUUCCAAUGGACCUGGAUGAUUUUGAAUGUCUAUCCCGGCCAGCCUGUUAGGACGAGUCCAAAUUCCAACCAGCUGGUACAGCCCAAAUUGCUGGAAGCCCAGAAGGGAGACAUCUGGACAUUUCAGGCUGUUGGAGGCCAUGACUUCAGGGGACCCUUGUAGGCCUGAUCAGACUUAAUUUCAGAUUUCAGAGCAAGAGUUAUCAACCAGCACUGGGAGAGCCCGUCAAACCUAAGACAUUGCAUGAUAUACAACAGGACUUCCAAGGGACCUCUUGUGAUCCCUGGUUCCUCCAGUGGGAUUGCCCUCUCUUCUGAUCAGCUGGCCCUGUGGCUUUCAUGCCUGUCUAUCAGGGAUUUCGGGCUUGUAUAGUUAUUGGUGGCAGCUUCCCAGCAAGAUAACAAGGAUCCUCGAGUGCUUAUUCUGGAUGUUUGUCCUCAAGGACCUCGAUUAUUUAUUAUCGUUUUGCUAGAUGUCCA
rnacentral:lncRNA from 1 species